UAUGACCUGGGCUACAAACGUGAUACAAUGGCUGUUACAAAGAGUAGCUGAAGCGCGAGUUUUUAGCCAAUCUCAAAAAAGCAGUCUCAGUUCGGAUUGAAGUCUGUAACUCGACUUCAUGAAGUUGGAAUCGCUAGUAAUCGCGAAUCAGCAUGUCGCGGUGAAUACGUUCUCGGGGUUUGUACACACCGCCCGUCAAACCACGAAAGUUAGCAAUACCCGAAAGCAGCAGCUUAACUUCGCAAGAAGAGGGAACUGUCUAAGGUAGGGUUGAUGAUUGGGGUUAAGUCGUAACAAGGUAUCCCUACCGGAAGGUGGGGAUGGAUCACCUCCUUUCU
rnacentral:rRNA from 1 species